UACGUAGGGUGCAAGCGUUAAUCGGAAUUACUGGGGCGUAAAGCGUGCGCAGGCGGUUCUGUAAGUCUGUCGUGAAAUCCCCGGGCUUAACCUGGGAAUUGCGAUGGAGACUGCAAGGCUAGAAUCUGGCAGAGGGGGGGUAGAAUUCCACGUGUAGCAGUGAAAUGCGUAGAGAUGUGGAGGAACACCGAUGGCGAAGGGCAGCCCCCUGGGUCAAGAUUGACGCUC
rnacentral:rRNA from 1 species